UGAUCCAGCUGGGGCCGGGCCUUUGUUUCCCUCCGGUUGCCCUUGGAGGGGCUGUGGGCGCAGACCCAGCCCUCCCGGAGCUCCAGCGUGGUGAAGUCCAACUCUGGCCUGGGCGUUGGAUUGAACCAACAUCCACCCAACACUGACAACGUGGCAAGCGCUGGAAAUAAAGAUGAGUACGAUGAUAUUCUACCCCAGAGAACUUGCAGGCCAGAGGAAGACAAUUACAUAGUUGGAGCCUAACGCAGCUCGCACAGUCUGACCUACUGUGUGUCCAGCUGAAGACUGCAUAUACAAAUGGACAAAGAUCAGACCAUUUAUAGUAACAGCACACUAAUCCACAACCUCUGCGGCAACCGGCCUGGAGUGGUCGGGACUUGAUCAAGUACUUCUCUAUUUUUGCCCCCUCUUCCAACACAGGACGGACCAUAGAAAACCAAAUAUGCUCCCCAAACCAAUCACUCAAGACACCCCACUACUAGCCUGCUUCCAGCUUCCCCAUGCCAACCUCCUCCAACCCAAGCACACCUGAUGACUUGCCUUUUUUUCCCCACUGUAAAGCUUUCCCACUUCCCAGCCUGCCACUGAGUCUCUGCCAAAUGCUAGUAAUGGUGGCUGAUGCCCUUGCUACAUAGUAACAAUGAUUAAAGAGCAUCAUUUGUUUGUUCU